GAUGAACGCUGGCGGCGUGCCUAAUACAUGCAAGUCGAGCGAACAGAUGAGGAGCUUGCUCCUCUGACGUUAGCGGCGGACGGGUGAGUAACACGUGGAUAACCUACCUAUAAGACUGGGAUAACUUCGGGAAACCGGAGCUAAUACCGGAUAAUAUAUUGAACCGCAUGGUUCAAUAGUGAAAGACGGUGUUGCUGUCACUUAUAGAUGGAUCCGCGCCGCAUUAGCUAGUUGGUAAGGUAACGGCUUACCAAGGCAACGAUGCGUAGCCGACCUGAGUGGGUGAUCGGCCACACUGGAACUGAGACACGGUCCAGACUCCUACGGGAGGCAGCAGUAGGGAAUCUUCCGCAAUGGGCGAAAGCCUGACGGAGCAACGCCGCGUGAGUGAUGAAGGUCUUCGGAUCGUAAAACUCUGUUAUUAGGGAAGAACAAAUGUGUAAGUAACUAUGCACGUCUUGAUGGUACCUAAUCAGAAAGCCACGGCUAACUACGUG
rnacentral:rRNA from 1 species